rnacentral:tRNA from 1 species
UUGGGUGUAGCUUAGUGGUAGAGCAGUUGUCUAGCAUGCAAGAGGCCCUGGGUUUGAGCCCCCGUUACAAAA